ACCCGCUGAACUUAAGCAUAUCAAUAAGCGGAGGAAAAGAAACCAACAGGGAUUGCCCUAGUAACGGCGAGUGAAGCGGCAACAGCUCAAAUUUGAAAUCUGGCGUCUUUGGCCUCCGAGUUGUAAUUUGCAGAGGGCGCUUUGGCAUUGGCAGCGGUCCAAGUUCCUUGGAACAGGACGUCACAGAGGGUGAGAAUCCCGUACGUGGUCGCUAGCCUUUACCGUGUAAAGCCCCUUCGACGAGUCGAGUUGUUUGGGAAUGCAGCUCUAAAUGGGAGGUAAAUUUCUUCUAAAGCUAAAUACUGGCCAGAGACCGAUAGCGCACAAGUAGAGUGAUCGAAAGAUGAAAAGCACUUUGGAAAGAGAGUUAAAAAGCACGUGAAAUUGUUGAAAGGGAAGCGCUUGCAGCCAGACUUGCCUGUAGUUGCUCAUUCGGGUUUUUACCCGGUGCACUCUUCUAUAGGCAGGCCAGCAUCAGUUUGGGCGGUUGGAUAAAGGUCUCUGUCAUGUACCUCUCUUCGGGGAGAACUUAUAGGGGAGACGACAUGCAACCAGCCCGGACUGAGGUCCGCGCAUCUGCUAGGAUGCUGGCGUAAUGGCUGU
rnacentral:rRNA from 1 species